UGGGGAAUUUUGCACAAUGGGGGAAACCCUGAUGCAGCGACGCCGCGUGAUUUAGAAGGCCUUCGGGUUGUAAAAAUCUUUUCUAUGGGAAGAAAAUGACAGUACCAUAGGAAUAAGGACCGGCUAAUUACGUGCCAGCAGCCGCGGUAAUACGUAAGGUCCGAGCGUUGUCCGGAAUCAUUGGGCGUAAAGGGUACGUAGGCGGGUAAGCAAGUUAGAAGUGAAAUCCUGUAGCUCAACUACAGUAAGCUUUUAAAACUGCUCAUCUUGAGAUAUGGAAGGGAAAGUGGAAUUCCUAGUGUAGCGGUGAAAUGCGCAGAUAUUAGGAGGAAUACCGGUGGCGAAGGCGACUUUCUGGUCAUCAUCUGACGCUGAGGUACGAAAGCGUGGGUAGCAAACAGG
rnacentral:rRNA from 1 species